rnacentral:lncRNA from 10 species
UGAUUGUCUGCGUGGUCAUGUUGGUUCUCUGAUCUUCAGUUCCCAUGGGGGUAACGCAAGUGGGCAUAGAUUGAUGUCUGCACACACAGUAGGCUGCAUUACAAGAGAAGGACACUGGCCCUCGGAAACUUACUGGUUCAUUGCACCCUAUAAAUAAGCCUGGUUUUUGUCCCAGGGGGAAACAUUACCUCAUCCCAUUGAGGUUGCAAACAGAAACCUGAGGAAUGGCACUGGUAGAGUGGUCAGGUCCUUGCAUUUCUGGUCAAACUCAACAAAAAGAAUAAUUAGCCCAUGGAAGACUCUUCCAAUAGAAACUUUCAGAGAAGAAAAACCAAUGGACAUGGAAGCGUCAUCGAUGACACGACACGUAACUACUUUCAGCCUCAUUUCAGCGUCAUCGAUGACACGACACAUAACUACUUUCAGCCUCAUUUCAGCGUCAUCGAUGACAUGACACAUAACUACUUUCAGCCUCUAAAGAACUGACAGCAGCUAAGGAUAAUUUCUAAUGCCACAAGCUCAGGAUGGAUUUGACAAAGGAACUGCUCUGGAGAAAUAUAAUUUUUAAAGUACUGACCUUAUACUAAAAAGAAAAUAUUUGAGAAGCAAGUGGAAGAGAAUAAAAUAUUAGGGUUUGGCACUUCUGUAAGUGAGCCUAUGUGUGUGGGAAAAGUGAAGGGAUUAAAUAUAAGACCUGAAUUCCCCAUAUUUCAACUUGGAGUUGUUUAAAUUUUUUCAAACAUGUUUUUACAUUUAAAACAAAAACACCAUAAUAAUUAGAGAUAAUUAGAGAUAGUUUUUCAGUUUGCAUGACCCUGCCCAACAAGAGUCGGUCUUCACAAUCAAUUUGACCAGCAAAGUGCUCUACACCAUUUCCAAAUGCUUUUCUGUGGGCCAGUGCCAGCCUCAGUUGAGAAAUGCUAGACCAGGAGGACCAAAUUUAUUCCCCUUCUUCAAUUCCGAGCAAAAAGCAGAGUAACAGCAUGAGAACUUGGCACAGGCAGAUAAUGAUGAAGAGGAGAAAGAAUUAAUGAGGUUUAUUUAUGUACAUAGAAAUAAAUACCAUUAUGCCAAAAGUCAUAGUGUAUCAGACUUGCAGAAUUAAAAUUAAAUUGACAAACACAAAAUAUUGUAUUUUCAAAAAAAUGUUAAAUCUUACAGGUCAUUUUUUUCUUAAAGCUAAGUAGUGUGUGGCUAAUCCGAUGAAAGGACUGAAGGAUUAAUCACAUUUUGUGGUGUUAUAUUUGAUUUUGACUCAGUAAAGCUAUGUUUUGGGCAAAUAGCCAAUUGAGAAGCAAUUAUUAGACAUACAUUAGAAGCCUAAAAUAAUGCUGGUAUGAUAAAGUUAAGCUAAUGCCUAUGUUGCAAAGAGCUUUAAAGUGGAGUUUAACAGUCCCUAGAAUUUGUGGGAAUCAAAAAUUUCUAGUAAUGUAGCAUUUAACUAUAUACAAAGUAAAGUGGGA